rnacentral:rRNA from 1 species
AGAGUUUGAUCCUGGCUCAGAGUGAACGCUGGCGGCAUGCCUAACACAUGCAAGUCGAACGGUAGAGGGCUUCGGCCCUUGAGAGUGGCGAACGGGUGAGUAAUGCGUCGGAACGUACCGAGUAAUGGGGGAUAACGCAGCGAAAGUUGUGCUAAUACCGCAUACGCCCUGAGGGGGAAAGUGGGGGAUCGCAAGACCUCACGUUAUUCGAGCGGCCGACGUCUGAUUAGCUAGUUGGUGGGGUAAAGGCCUACCAAGGCGACGAUCAGUAGCGGGUCUGAGAGGAUGAUCCGCCACACUGGGACUGAGACACGGCCCAGACUCCUACGGGAGGCAGCAGUGGGGAAUUUUGGACAAUGGGGGCAACCCUGAUCCAGCCAUUCCGCGUGAGUGAAGAAGGCCUUCGGGUUGUAAAGCUCUUUCAGCUGGAGUGAAACGGUACGCUCUAACAUAGCGUGCUAAUGACGGUACCAGCAGAAGAAGCACCGGCUAACUACGUGCCAGCAGCCGCGGUAAUACGUAGGGUGCGAGCGUUAAUCGGAAUUACUGGGCGUAAAGCGUGCGCAGGCGGAUUGUUAAGCAAGACGUGAAAUCCCCGGGCUUAACCUGGGAAUGGCGUUUUGAACUGGCAGUCUAGAGUGCGUCAGAGGGGGGUGGAAUUCCACGUGUAGCAGUGAAAUGCGUAGAGAUGUGGAGGAACACCGAUGGCGAAGGCAGCCCCCUGGGAUGACACUGACGCUCAUGUACGAAAGCGUGGGUAGCAAACAGGAUUAGAUACCCUGGUAGUCG